rnacentral:sRNA from 1 species
GCUGGACAUGGUGGUGCAUGCCUGUAAUCCCAGUGCUUCAGGAGGCUGAGGCAGGAGGAUUGAGAGUUUGAUGCCAGCCUUAGCAACUUAGUAAGGUCCUAAGAAACUCAGCAAGACCCUGUCUUUA